AACGCUGGCGGCGCGCUUAACACAUGCAAGUCGAGCGAGAACCGGGGCUUCGGCCCCGGGGACAGCGGCGAACGGGUGAGUAACACGUGGGUAAUCUGCCCUCGGUUCCGGGAUAGCCCGGGGAAACUCGGAUUAAUACCGGAUAGCCUUACGAGCCUUCGGGCGCGUGAGAAAAGGUAGCUUCGGCCUCUGACCGAGGAUGAGCCGGCGGCGGAUUAGCUUGUUGGCGGGGUAACGGCCCACCAAGGCGACGAUCCGUAGCUGGUCUGAGAGGACGAUCAGCCACACUGGGACUGAGACACGGCCCAGACUCCUACGGGAGGCAGCAGUGGGGAAUCUUGCGCAAUGGGCGAAAGCCUGACGCAGCGACGCCGCGUGAGGGAAGAAGGCCCUAGGGUUGUAAACCUCUUUCAGGUGGGACGAAGCCACUCGGGUGAAUAGCCCAGAGGGUGACGGUACCUCCAGAAGAAGCCCCGGCUAACUACGUGCCAGCCGCCGCGGUAAUAC
rnacentral:rRNA from 1 species